rnacentral:tRNA from 1 species
GUGGCGGAAUCGGCAGACGCACGGGACUUAAAAUCCCGGGGGCUUAAGGCCCGUGUGGGUUCGACCCCCACCCCGGGCACCA